GUAGGUGGCAAGCGUUGUCCGGAAUUAUUGGGCGUAAAGCGCGCGCAGGCGGUUCUUUAAGUCUGAUGUGAAAGCCCACGGCUCAACCGUGGAGGGUCAUUGGAAACUGGAGAACUUGAGUACAGAAGAGGAAAGCGGAAUUCCACGUGUAGCGGUGAAAUGCGUAGAGAUGUGGAGGAACACCAGUGGCGAAGGCGGCUUUCUGGUCUGUAACUGACGCUGAGGCGCGAAAGCGUGGGGAGCAAACAGGAUUAGAUACCCUGGUAGUCCACGCCGUAAACGAUGAGUGCUAAGUGUUAGGGGGUUUCCGCCCCUUGGUGCUGCAGCUAACGCAUUAAGCACUCCGCCUGGGGAGUACGGCCGCAAAGGCUG
rnacentral:rRNA from 1 species